CGGCGGCGUGCUAUAAUGCAAGUCGAACGCUUUGUGGUUCAACUGAUUUGAAGAGCUUGCUCAGAUAUGACGAUGGACAUUGCAAAGAGUGGCGAACGGGUGAGUAACACGUGGGAAACCUACCUCUUAGCAGGGGAUAACAUUUGGAAACAGAUGCUAAUACCGUAUAACAAUGACAACCGCAUGGUUGUUAUUUAAAAGAUGGUUCUGCUAUCACUAAGAGAUGGUCCCGCGGUGCAUUAGCUAGUUGGUAAGGUAAUGGCUUACCAAGGCGAUGAUGCAUAGCCGAGUUGAGAGACUGAUCGGCCACAAUGGGACUGAGACACGGCCCAUACUCCUACGGGAGGCAGCAGUAGGGAAUCUUCCACAAUGGGCGAAAGCCUGAUGGAGCAACGCCGCGUGUGUGAUGAAGGGUUUCGGCUCGUAAAACACUGUUGUAAGAGAAGAAUGACAUUGAGAGUAACUGUUCAAUGUGUGACGGUAUCUUACCAGAAAGGAACGGCUAAAUACGUGCCAGCAGCCGCGGUAAUACGUAUGUUCCAAGCGUUAUCCGGAUUUAUUGGGCGUAAAGCGAGCGCAGACGGUUAUUUAAGUCUGAAGUGAAAGCCCUCAGCUCAACUGAGGAAUUGCUUUGGAAACUGGAUGACUUGAGUGCAGUAGAGGAAAGUGGAACUCCAUGUGUAGCGGUGAAAUGCGUAGAUAUAUGGAAGAACACCAGUGGCGAAGGCGGCUUUCUGGACUGUAACUGACGUUGAGGCUCGAAAGUGUGGGUAGCAAACAGGAUUAGAUACCCUGGUAGUCCACACCGUAAACGAUGAGUGCUAGGUGUUUGAGGGUUUCCGCCCUUAAGUGCCGCAGCUAACGCAUUAAGCACUCCGCCUGGGGAGUACGACCGCAAGGUUGAAACUCAAAGGAAUUGACGGGGACCCGCACAAGCGGUGGAGCAUGUGGUUUAAUUCGAAGCAACGCGAAGAACCUUACCAGGUCUUGACAUCCCUUGACAACUCCAGAGAUGGAGCGUUCCCUUCGGGGACAAGGUGACAGGUGGUGCAUGGUUGUCGUCAGCUCGUGUCGUGAGAUGUUGGGUUAAGUCCCGCAACGAGCGCAACCCUUAUUACUAGUUGCCAGCAUUCAGUUGGGCACUCUAGUGAGACUGCCGGUGACAAACCGGAGGAAGGUGGGGAUGACGUCAAAUCAUCAUGCCCCUUAUGACCUGGGCUACACACGUGCUACAAUGGCGUAUACAACGAGUUGCCAACCCGCGAGGGUGAGCUAAUCUCUUAAAGUACGUCUCAGUUCGGAUUGUAGGCUGCAACUCGCCUACAUGAAGUCGGAAUCGCUAGUAAUCGCGGAUCAGCACGCCGCGGUGAAUACGUUCCCGGGUCUUGUACACACCGCCCGUCACACCAUGAGAGUUUGUAACACCCAAAGCCGGUGGGGUAACCUUCGGGAGCCAGCCGUCUAAGUGAA
rnacentral:rRNA from 1 species